rnacentral:rRNA from 1 species
GUGAGGAAUCUUCCACAAUGGGCGAAAGCCUGAUGGAGCAACGCCGCGUGAAGGAUGAAGGUCUUCGGAUUGUAAACUUCUUUUAUGAGUGAAGAAUAUGACGGUAACUCAUGAAUAAGCACCGGCUAACUACGUGCCAGCAGCCGCGGUCAUACGUAGGGUGCAAGCAUUAUCCGGAGUGACUGGGCGUAAAGAGUUGCGUAGGCGGUUAUGUAAGCGAAUAGUGAAACCUGGUGGCUCAACCACACAGACUAUUAUUCGAACUGCAUAACUCGAGAAUGGUAGAGGUAACUGGAAUUUCUUGUGUAGGAGUGAAAUCCGUAGAUAUAAGAAGGAACACCAAUGGCGUAGGCAGGUUACUGGGCCAUCUCUGACGCUAAGGCACGAAAGCGUGGGGAGCGAACCGGAUUAGAUACCCCAGUAGUCC